GCCCACGUAGCUCAGCGGUAGAGCAGCUCACUCGUAAUGAGCAGGCCGUCGGUUCGAAUCCGACCGUGGGCU
rnacentral:tRNA from 1 species